GGCGGACGGGUUUAGUUAACGCGUGGGAACGUGCCCAGAUCUGCGGAAUAGCCACUGGAAACGGUGAGUAAUACCGCAUACGCCCUUCGGGGGAAAGAUUUAUCGGAUUUGGAUCGGCCCGCGUUAGAUUAGGUAGUUGGUGGGGUAAUGGCCUACCAAGCCUACGAUCUAUAGCUGGUUUUAGAGGAUGAUCAGCAACACUGGGACUGAGACACGGUCCAGACUCCUACGGGAGGCAGCAGUGGGGAAUUUUGGACAAUGGGCGCAAGCCUGAUCCAGCAAUACCGCGUGCAGGAAGAAGGCCUUCGGGUUGUAAACUGCUUUUGUACGGAACGAAAAGGCUCUUUCUAAUAAAGAGGGCUCAUGACGCUACCGUAAGAAUAAGCACCGGCUAACUACGUGCCAGCAGCCGCGGUAAUACGUAGGGUGCGAGCGUUAAUCGGAAUUACUGGGCGUAAAGCGUGC
rnacentral:rRNA from 1 species